AGCGAACGCUGGCGGCAGGCUUAACACAUGCAAGUCGAACGGGCACUUCGGUGUCAGUGGCAGACGGGUGAGUAACGCGUGGGAACAUACCUCUUGGUUCGGAACAACACAGGGAAACUUGUGCUAAUACCGGAUAAGCCCUUACGGGAAGAUUUAUCGCCGAGAGAUUGGCCCGCGUCUGAUUAGCUAGUUGGUGUGGUAAAAGACGCACCAAGGCGACGAUCAGUAGCUGGCUGAGAGGAUGAUCAGCCACAUUGGGACUGAGACACGGCCCAAACUCCUACGGGAGGCAGCAGUGGGGAAUAUUGGACAAUGGGCGCAAGCCUGAUCCAGCCAUGCCGCGUGAGUGAUGAAGGCCC
rnacentral:rRNA from 1 species